GAUGAACGCUGGCGGCGUGCUUAACACAUGCAAGUCGAACGAUGAAGCCCAGCCUGCUGGGCGGAUUAGUGGCGAACGGGUGAGUAACACGUGAGUAACCUGCCCUUGACUCUGGGAUAAGCCCGGGAAACUGGGUCUAAUGCCGGAUAGGAGCGCCUGUCGCAUGACGGGUGCUGGAAAGAUUUUUCGGUCAUGGAUGGACUCGCGGCCUAUCAGCUUGUUGGUGAGGUAACGGCUCACCAAGGCGACGACGGGUAGCCGGCCUGAGAGGGUGACCGGCCACACUGGGACUGAGACACGGCCCAGACUCCUACGGGAGGCAGCAGUGGGGAAUAUUGCACAAUGGGCGGAAGCCUGAUGCAGCGACGCCGCGUGAGGGAUGACGGCCUUCGGGUUGUAAACCUCUUUCAGUAGGGAAGAAGCGAAAGUGACG
rnacentral:rRNA from 1 species